rnacentral:rRNA from 1 species
UUGGAGGGCAAGUCUGGUGCCAGCAGCCGCGGUAAUUCCAGCUCCAAUAGCGUAUAUUAAAGUUGUUGCAGUUAAAAAGCUCGUAGUUGAAUUUCGGGGUUAGUAGGUUGGUCAUGCCUCCGGUAUGUACUGAUCUCACUGAUUCCUCCUUCCUUAUGAACCGUAAUGCCAUUAAUUUGGUGUUGCGGGGAAUUUGGACUGUUACUUUGAAAAAAUUAGAGUGUUUAAAGCAGGCUAACGCUUGAAUACAUUAGCAUGGAAUAAUGAAAUAGGACGUUCGAUCUUAUUUUGUUGGUUUCUAGGAUUGACGUAAUGAUUAAUAGGGAUAGUUGGGGGCAUUAGUAUUCAAUUGUCAGAGGCGAAAUUCUUGGACUUAUUGAAGACUAACUACUGCGAAAGCAUUUGCCAAGGAUGUUUUCAUUAAUCAAGAACGAAAGUUAGGGGAUCGAAGACGAUCAGAUACCGUCGUAGUCUGAACCAUAAACUAUGCCGACUAGGGAUCGGAUGAUGUUAAUUUUUUAAUGACUCAUUCGGCGCCUUACGGGAAAC